AUAUAGGUCACAGGUAAGGUUUAAAAAUAAAGGUCACAGGUAAGGUUUAAAAAUAAGGGUCACAGGUAAGGUUUAAAAAUAAAGGUCACAGGUAAGGUUUGAAAAUGUAAAGGAAAGUGAUCGAAAUGAAAAGAUUAAUGUAAUAAAAAACCCUCUGAGAGGGCAAUAACUGGAACAGAUCAAUUAUAGUAAAUAAUUCUUAUUACACUUCCAUACAGACGCCAUGAAUUCAGCACAUGACAGCUAAAAGAUAAAAAGUGAUCCAAUUUUAUCGGAAAUGAAUAUCAUCGAAGAAAAGUAUACAUCUCCCGUUAAAGAAAUAUUCCUCACAAGUUGGGAAAUUGUUGACUGUUCUGUGUGUACUUAUGACUAUUGUCAGUACUUUAUGAUUUGUUAGUAAUGAAUUAUUUUGUUACACUGUAUACAAAUCUAUUGUUAUACAUAUGGUAACAGGAGGAUGAGGAUGAACUACCCUACUGUUCUAUCUGUACUGAGGAUGCCAUGGUUCGCUGUCAUGGCUGUGAUAUGGAUCUUUACUGUAGUCAGUGUUGGAAUAAAAGCCACAAAGACUUCCAAAUGGAAGACCAUGUCACAUCAAAAUACAUAGCCCCUAAGGGGAUUACUUGAUUGAUGGCGAAAGGUCUUUUCUUCAAGCCAAGAGACAAUAUUACAUUGUAUCUAUACUACAUGGGAAUCACUUGAUUGAUGGCAAAGAACUUUUCUUUAACCCCGGACUCUAACCUUACUAGAGGAGGAAGUAUUUGAUCAGUAGCAUAGUCAUGAAUUAACCAUUAUCUACACCGGAAUUUAAUCCUCUCCAAAGGAGUUACUGUUGUGUAAGCUAGAAUUAAUGGACUAUUCCCUUAUCAACAUGUAAGCCAGAAAUUAAUAUUCUCCACGAAACAAUUUAGCAAUAAAUAUUCUCAAAGGAAGAAUUCAGCAGUUAUUACCCGGUGGUAUGCUCAAAGAAGUUUGUGGCUAUUAAAUAAAUAUUCUCAAUGGAAGAUUGAUGUUACCAAUUAAUAUUCACAAAAAGAAGAAUUUAGUGUUUAUAAUUGUGCUCAAAAGAAAAAGAUACCAAUUCAUUUUCUCAAAGGAAUAAGUUAGUGAUUUCUUUGCCAUAAUUGUCUAUUUCAAAUGCCAGAAGAUAAGUUUUGCUUCCAAUUUUAUGUGUUUAUAUUAUACAGCAUUGUUAAACCUGUUUAUUAAAAAGCUUUUAUAUAUGUUGUUGACACAUUGUGUGUAUAUGUCGCUCACAGUGGUCCAAGGAUCAGGAACUAACCACGGUAGUAAAUACAGAAUUCACGUUUUAUUUGCCUUGAUGUAAGGAAUAAAUUAUUAUUGAUGACAAAAAA